GUGCCAGCAGCCGCGGUAACACGUAGGGGGCAAGCGUUGUCCGGAUUUAUUGGGCGUAAAGAGCUCGUAGGUGGCUGAGUAAGUCGGGUGUCAAAGCCCCAGGCUCAACCUGGGAUCCCACCCGAUACUGCUCUGGCUAGAGUCCGGUAGGGGAGCGUGGAAUUCCUGGUGUAGCGGUGAAAUGCGCAGAUAUCAGGAGGAACACCAGCGGCGAAGGCGGCGCUCUGGGCCGGUACUGACACUGAGGAGCGAAAGCGUGGGUAGCAAACAGGAUUAGAAACCCUAGUAGUCC
rnacentral:rRNA from 1 species